AUUGUGUCUACAUAGAAGCCCAUUCCCCUGUAUACGUAUUUAAUAGUUAAUGUACAGUGUAGAGGGGUUUAUGACAGUAAACCUCCCGACUACGAGGGCGUAAGCCCGAGGGGGAGGUGUGGUUUACUGUCAUAAACCCCGAGGCACUGUGCAUUAAUUGAUAUAAUUUGUCCCAUCUGAUUGGCUGACUGGUUGCUAUGCAUCAAGCUGCAUGACUACCACAUAGCAACACUAUUCAAACAAGAAGAAAACUAGGAAAAGAGAGCUCGUCCACACACCAGGGCUGCUGUCCACACUCAAAUCCUUGCGCAGCCUGGACAGAAUCUGAGCAGCCGAAAGCGACUAAAUACAGGAAUAUGUCCAAUGUCAACCUUUGAACCUUGCAUAUAAACACACGUUUUAAUGGUAAAAAACCGUUAAUAUUCAAACUGUCAAAUCACCAUUUUCUUCAGAGCUUGAGAGAUGAGAUAUGAGAGCUAGCUAGGGCCUGGGGCUAGAGGGAACAGACUGCAGUCAUUGCUAGCCUCCUUGUGGUGAACCAUGUAUCCUCUACUAUCUAUGGCACAAGCCGUACUGUACAAGUGAAAGCAAUCCUUGAGAUCUGCAACGUCUUGGUCUACAAAGAGUCUGUCGUUCACUUCUCAUUUCUGGAUUAAUUACCCAUGUUCCUGUGCAUCAUUACUGUGUGGCUUGUGCUACACUGAGUACAUAUUCAAAUUUUGAGUGGAGUUCUACUGGGGCUAUUGCAGCAUUGUCCUUGGGACCGAGGCUAUAGAACAAAUCAGACUGCUCUGCCUCAUAAGUGAAGAGGCGAACACAAAUGGCAGAAUGUUCUUUCACAAUAAUGAUUGUUUUUUGUGCAAUAAAACAAUGUUUGCUGUAUUAAUUUCAA